GCUCCGAUAGUAUAGUCGCAGAAUUGAGGACUGUGGUUCUCUCCGAGCAGACAUCCUUAGGCGCCGGUUCAAAUCCGGCUCGGGGCACCA
rnacentral:tRNA from 1 species